GGCUGGUCCAAGUGCAGUGGUGUUUACAACUAAUUAAUCACAACCAGUUAUGGAUUGCUUUGUUCCUUCUCCGCUCCCACUGCUUCACUUGACUAGCCUAAA
ensembl:misc_RNA Y_RNA Y RNA